rnacentral:lncRNA from 1 species
AUUUACUUUAGUAGGUUUUAUAUAAUGUAUAGUAAGAGCAUUUUUGUGCACUUUUUAAGGAAUACCAGAUUAAUUUUUUGCUCUAUUAUCCAUUUAAUUAAAUUGUUAUUGUUGUUUUGUUUUUAUUUUCCGCAAAAGAAUUGAUCGAUUUUGUUCGAUAGGGAAAUCAAGUGAAGUAGAAAAAUCGUUUACAUGAGAGAGUGAGGCAAAUGAUGGAGAAAUUUCGCUCACAAUUUCUUUCUAUCCUGUAAAUAAGAUACAUAUGAAAGAUCCGUUUCUUAAUAUUUGUAAAAUCACAAAUAGUUUUAUAUCCUUGAACGGCCAAAAUAACUAAAUCGUAACUUUUAACGUAGUUAUACUCGAUUUCCAUCCCGAUGUGUUGCGUCGCGGUCUUCGCGUCGCGUCGUCGUCGUCGGAGGCAGCGCGAGGAAAGAGAUUUCAUUCGACGGUUAGGCCUUGGUGAAGAUCUAUAUGGUGGAUCGUGAACACAAAUGGAUCAUUCUGUUAAAUAGGAAUUGUUGGCAUCGUUAUAACUCGAAUAGUAUGCGAAACAACGUGAUAUGGCCGCAGCAUCCGAUCCGGGCUUUUGGACCCUCAUUCGAGUCUCCAGUGGUGACGAAUGGCAGUUCGGGCCUUACGGGUCGUCCACUAAUUUGGACCGAGGCGACUAAUCGGCACUGUCUCCGUCUAGGUUAUAAAUCCCCCGGCACUCCGGUCGACAAGUCGAGUAAUUGCCUGUAACUUUCCGGACAACAAUGGAGGCGGAAGGUGGAUGCAAUCGGUAUCUAUUCUGCCUUAAACGGAAGAUUGUAUUAAACAGAAUGGAAGAAUCCAACGUCGUCCUCUUCUAUACUCUUGCACCUUUCCAUGCGAACCGAUAUUGGAGCAAUUUAAAGCAACCAAAUUUUCCAGAAAGAUCGUUCGACUUCCGGCGGAUGGCCUCCAUUGCCCAGCCUCUGGUGGUCAUUUAUAUUAGGAAAGCCGAAUUCCUCAAUGACGGAUUUCUCGGUUUUCCCCGUAGGAAUAAGACUCGACUUACUUUCGAUCUUUCUCCUUCCGAAGACCCCAGUGGAUUCUGUUGAUUUUAUUAAGUAAAGAAGAAAGAAAAAAAUACACUAAAAGAAUUCGUUAUCGGCUCUCGGGAUUUUCGCCAUCACUGUUUCGGCGUGGCGAGCAUCUAUUAACAAAUAAAUAAAGGAAUUUAUUUAUUUACCCAAAACACAUUUUUAAAAUAUCGUCAUAGAGCUAAACCAUUGAGAUCUGAUACACGUAUUUUACAUUUAAAAAAAAUAUUAGGAUUAUUUCUUUACUAUAUAAUCAACUUUAUAUGUCGCCAGUAUUGAUUUUUUAGGUUCUGCAUUUUGUAUUUAUUUAUUCUCUCUGUCAAAUGUUUUCAUUGUGUGUGUGUCACAAAGAAUACACUAAUAAAUAAAUAAAUAUCAGAAGAUAAAAAAAAAUCUUCAAUAAUCCUCACCUUUUAUGUUGUCACGUGAAAUAAUUCAGCAGUUUUACGUGAAGCGGUUUAUCUGUAUCGAUGUGCUGCAGUAAAGAAAAAUUUUCGAAAUAAAAAACUUAUCGGUUUUUAGCCCCUGAUGUUUUUCAGUUUUGCAUAAAGUUAAUCUAUAAUGUUUAUAUUAUCGCUGUAUAUGUCUUGUUUAUUUUAAAACCAAAACAUUUACUUGUUAACUGCUAAUACUCUAUUAAAUGAAGGAAAGGUGUUUUAUGUCCACCUUGGAGUUCCGGAUUCAUUUCCUGGGUUCCACAUAUUCAAAUGUUUUGUGAGGAGGAACCUGGCCUUACUCGUUAAACUGCAUCUUUCUUUUCAUGGCUGACCCUGUCAGAGUAUGGGCGGCCCAUGGUGGUCACUGGAGUAUCCUACCUGUACCUGUACCUUUUUUCCUUUUGCAGUACAUAAACUAUACAAGGAAAAAAGGUGUUGUAUGCCCAUUUCAGCUUUGUUUUGAAGAAUGAACAUAGGAUUUUUGUAGAGCGAACAUGAAAUUUUAAAGAGUACACAUACGAAUGAUAAAUUUAUAAUUUUCGCUCCGUUACAUAACAGAAAUCUUCAAAUUUGUUAAACUGCAUCCUCCUUUUCACGCUGAUUACAUCAGGAGUAUGGGCAGUUAGUCCAUGUAGGCACUGGAAUGCCCUGUGAUUUAGUAUAUAAACCAUAUAAGGAAAACAGAUGCUGUAUAUCAGUUUCAGCUGGUGUUUUAGAGUGAACAUAAAAUUUUGAAGAGUUCACACACGGAUGAUGAAUACAUAAUUUUCGCUUCGAAACAUAACUGAAACCUUCAAACUCGUCAAACCACAUCGUUCUUUUCACGGCUGACCCCUUCAGGAGUAUAGGCGGGCCAUGGUGGACAGUGGAAUGCUCUGCGGCUUAGUACAUAAACCAUACAAGGAAAACAGGUGCUGUAUGCCAGUUUUAACUGAUGUUUUGAAGAGUGAACAGAGAAUUUUUGCAGAUUGAGCAUAAAAUUUCGAAGAGUGCACAUACGAAUGAUGAAUACAUAAUUUUCGCUCCCAUACAUAACAGAAACUUUCAAACGUAAGGAGUCAUCUAGUAAUCAUUUUUAUUCAUAUAUAACGAUUAUUAUUGAUUAUUUUGCACGGAAAUUAAUGAAUUUCCCAUUAAUUCACGAUUUAUUUUCAAUUGGAUGAGUAUGAAUGGUGACAAAACUUGUAAUUGGUAAUGCAUACAAGAUAUGACUAAUUAUUCCUGACGAGAAUUGCCACUCUAGACAUGACUCCAAAUGAAUCCUGUGUUAAAAUGUAGUAUACUCGUAAUACGAUUAAUACAUUGCUUUAAGGAACAAUUAAGAUCAAACAUUAUUCGAUGACCGCAAUGAGUUUGGACAAAUUUGAUGUUAGCUUAUUCUGCAGUUUCAUCAACGUAACUUCGACGUUGGAGAAGCUGUUACCUACGUAUCACGCAAUCUUAUUGCUUUCCAAGAUUAAAUUAUGUAUUUGUAAUACAUAUCCGCCAUAUUUUCAACUUGAUAACUUUUGUAUUGCUCGCAUAUACGAUCGCUUUUGAUCUGGUAAUAGAAAUUAUUGCUAGGUUUCUUCACCUCCUUAAUUUUUAUUAUAUAUAACCAAAUUGUAAAAGUUCUACUUAAUGUUUUCGCUGAGAACUUUUUCUGUA